UUGUAUUAUAUAUCUACCAGAUGAAUUACUCUACAGCGUCGUUUCGAACGUAUUUUCCACUGUUCUUAUUCAGAUAUGAUCUAACAGCAAAGAGCAGCUGCUCUUUUAAGGCAGGCAGCAGAUUUGUUGAAUGUCAACACAUGUGUCAGGAGUACACAAUACCAGCACCUGCACCAGUAACCUCUGUCAGUAGCACUAGUGCUGCAAAGGCAAUUUUUGCACCCGACAGUAAAAGAAGGAGGCAUGGACAUGCAAAUACAGGAACUGUGGCAGUGUCAGCACUGGACUAUUACACCCAGGUGUAAUCAGGUUCCUGGUUACAACUAAUGACCACCUGUUGAAGGAGCUAGACGUUACCAGGGAGAGACACCAGCACAAAGGUGAAUCCGAUUAACUGGAGCUACAAGCAGCUUAAGAAAAACCUUCAGGGACCAGUCUAAAUGUUCUGAUAAUGAUAAUAGUGUGUUAUGUGUUUUAUUGCUAAGAAUUUUGGCUACUCUCUAUCCAAUAUCUAAAGUGGUAUUUUAUUAAGAUUAAGAAAAUAAUAAGGCCAAUCUUAAUAAGAAAUAUUCUGCUGUAGCAUAUUGAACUGUUUAUUUAAUCAUGCAGCAAUUUGUUGUUUGCCAUUUGAUCAUUUGGCAUGCUUAAGCUCAACAUAAUAUAAGAGAAAUUGAUUUCUUUCACAUUAUUUUACUUAUCUUGCAAUGAUUUUUCAAGCAUCUUUUUCCAACAUCUUGUAGAUUGGUAAGCAGAUAUGUUCUUGCUAGAUUUCAAUG